rnacentral:rRNA from 2 species
AGAGUUUGAUCAUGGCUCAGGAUGAACGCUAGCGGUGUGCCUAAUACAUGCAAGUCGAGCGAUCCGCAAGGGUAGCGGCGAACGGGUGAGUAACACGUUGGAACCUGCCCCGAACUCAGGGAUACCCAGCCGAAAGGUUGGCUAAUACCGGAUGGUCCCGAAAGGGUAAAGAAUUUCGGUUCGGGAGGGGCCUGCGGCCUAUCAGCUAGUUGGUAAGGUAACGGCUUACCAAGGCUACGACGGGUAGCUGGUGUGAGAGCAUGACCAGCCACAAUGGAACUGCGACACGGUCCAUACUCCUACGGGAGGCAGCAGUAAGGAAUAUUCCGCAAUGGGCGAAAGCCUGACGGAGCGACACCGCGUGGAGGAUGAAAGCAUUUUUGUUGUAAACUCCUUUUCUGGGGGAAUAAAUGAUGAAUGUACCCCAGGAAUAAGCACCGGCUAACUACGUGCCAGCAGCCGCGGUAAUACGUAGGGUGCAAGCGUUAUCCGGAAUCAUUGGGCGUAAAGCGUUCGUAGGCUGUUUGGAAAGUUUGCGGUUAAAUCUGGCCGCUCAACGGUCAAAUUGUCGCAAAAACUACCAAACUGGAGGUUGGCAGAGGCAACUGGAAUUCCGCAUGUAGGGGUAAAAUCCGUUGAUAUGCGGAGGAACACCAAAAGCGAAGGCAGGUUGCUGGGCCAUUCCUGACGCUCAAGAACGAAAGCGUGGGUAGCAAACAGGAUUAGAUACCCUGGUAGUCCACGCCCUAAACCAUGGAUACUCGGUGUAAGGGGGAUUCGACCCCUCCUUGUGCCUAAGCAAACGCGUUAAGUAUCCCGCCUGGGGAGUACGAUCGCAAGAUUAAAACUCAAAGGAAUAGACGGGGACCCACACAAGCGGUGGAACAUGUGGUUCAAUUCGACAGUAAACGGGGAACCUCACCAAGGUUUGACAUCCCGGGAAUCCCGAUGAAAAUCGGGAGUGCCGUAAGGAACCCGGUGACAGGUGCUGCAUGGUCGUCGUCAGCUCGUGCCUUGAGGUGUUCGGUUAAGUCCGUAAACGAGCGCAACCCUUGUCCUAUGUUGCUUUAUCAUAGGAGACUGCCGGCUCCAAGUCGGAGGAAGGCAAGGAUGACGUCAGAUCAGCAUGGCCUUUAUGCCUUGGGCCACACACGUGUUACAAUGGCCGGUACAAUGGGUAGCCAACCCGCAAGGGGGAGCCAAUCCCAACAAAGCCGGUCCCAAUUCGGAUUGAGGGCUGCAACUCGCCCUCAUGAAGCCGGAAUCGCUAGUAAACGCGAAUCAGCCAUGUCGCGUUGAAUAUGUUCCUGGGUCUUGUACUCACCGCCCGUCACAUCAUGAAAGGUGAAGGUACCCGAAGUCGCGUUACCCCGCAAGGGGGCGUGCCUAAGGUAAACUCACUGAUUGGGAUGAAGUCGUAACAAGGUAGCCG